GAAGUCGUGAGACCAAAGUGGGGGACCUUCGGGCCUCACGCCGUCGGAUGAGCCCAGAUGAGAUUAGCUGGUAGGUAGGGUAAAGGCUUACCUAGGCGACGAUCUCUAGCGGGUCUGAGAGGAUAGCCCGCCACACUGGAACUGAGACACGGUCCAGACUCCUACGGGAGGCAGCAGUGGGGAAUAUUGCACAAUGGGCGAAAGCCUGAUGCAGCCAUGCCACGUGUGUGAAGAAGGCCUUCGGGUUGUAAAGCACUUUCAGCGAGGAGGAAGCGAUAAAUGCCAAUACCAUUUAUUUUUGACGUUACUCGCAGAAGAAGCACCGGCUAACUCCGUGCCAGCAGCCGCGGUAAUACGGAGGGUGCGAGCGUUAAUCGGAAUAACUGGGCGUAAAGGGCAUGUAGGCGGUGAGUUAAGUCAGAUGUGAAAUCCCCGAGCUCAACUUGGGAAUGGCAUUUGAAACUGGGUCGCUAGAGUUUUCUAGAGGGGGGUAGAAUUCCAGGUGUAGCGGUGAAAUGCGUAGAUAUCUGGAGGAAUACCGGUGGCGAAGGCGGCCCCCUGGAGAAAGACUGACGCUGAGGUGCGAAAGCGUGGGGAGCAAACAGGAUUAGAUAGCCUGGUAGUCCACGCUGUAAACGAUGUCGAUUUGGAG
rnacentral:rRNA from 1 species